rnacentral:rRNA from 1 species
CAGCCGCCGCGGUAAUACGAAGGGGGCUAGCGUUGCUCGGAAUGACUGGGCGUAAAGGGCGCGUAGGCGGAUUGUUUAGUUAGGCGUGAAAUUCCUGGGCUUAACCUGGGGACUGCGCUUAAUACAGGCAGUCUAGAGCGAGGAAGAGGGUUGUGGAAUUCCCAGUGUAGAGGUGAAAUUCGUAGAUAUUGGGAAGAACACCGGUGGCGAAGGCGGCAACCUGGUCCUUGACUGACGCUGAGGCGCGAAAGCGUGGGGAGCAAACAGGAUUAGAUACCCGCGUAGUCCCUGUCUCUUAUAA